AUUUGCAUAGUUUAACUUAAAACAUUACAUUUUCAUUGUAAAAUUAAAAGAUUUUUUUUUGUAAAUA
rnacentral:tRNA from 1 species